rnacentral:rRNA from 1 species
AUACGGAGGAUGCAAGCGUUAUCCGGAUUCAUUGGGUUUAAAGGGUGCGUAGGCGGUUAUUUAAGUCAGUGGUGAAAUCCUGUCGCUCAACGAUAGAACUGCCAUUGAUACUGAAUAACUUGAGUACAGUUGAGGUAAGCGGAAUGUGUAGUGUAGCGGUGAAAUGCUUAGAUAUUACACAGAACACCGAUUGCGAAGGCAGCUUACUAAACUGCAACUGACGCUGAUGCACGAAAGCGUGGGGAUCGAACAGGAUUAGAUACCCUGGUAGUCCACGCCGUAAACGAUGAUCACUCGCUGUAUGCGAUACACAGUAUGCGGCCAAGCGAAAGCAUUAAGUGAUCCACCUGGGGAGUACGAUCGCAAGGUUGAA